rnacentral:rRNA from 1 species
UACGUAGGGUGCAAGCGUUAAUCGGAAUUACUGGGCGUAAAGCGUGCGCAGGCGGUUGUGCAAGACCGAUGUGAAAUCCCCGGGCUUAACCUGGGAAUGGCAUUGGUGACUGCACGGCUAGAGUGUGUCAGAGGGGGGUAGAAUUCCACGUGUAGCAGUGAAAUGCGUAGAGAUGUGGAGGAAUACCGAUGGCGAAGGCAGCCCCCUGGGAUAACACUGACGUUCAUGCACGAAAGCGUGGGGGGCAAACAGG